GGGUUGUGAGGUUAAGCGACUAAGCGUACACGGUGGAUGCCCUGGCAGUCAGAGGCGAUGAAGGACGUGCUAAUCUGCGAUAAGCGUCGGUGAGGUGAUAUGAACCGUUAUAACCGGCGAUUUCCGAAUGGGGAAACCCAGUGUGUUUCGACACACUAUCAUUAACUGAAUCCAUAGGUUAAUGAGGCGAACCGGGGGAACUGAAACAUCUAAGUACCCCGAGGAAAAGAAAUCAACCGAGAUUCCCCCAGUAGCGGCGAGCGAACGGGGAGGAGCCCAGAGCCUGAAUCAGUGUGUGUGUUAGUGGAAGCGUCUGGAAAGGCGCGCGAUACAGGGUGACAGCCCCGUACACAAAAAUGCACAUGCUGUGAGCUCGAUGAGUAGGGCGGGACACGUGGUAUCCUGUCUGAAUAUGGGGGGACCAUCCUCCAAGGCUAAAUACUCCUGACUGACCGAUAGUGAACCAGUACCGUGAGGGAAAGGCGAAAAGAACCCCGGCGAGGGGAGUGAAAAAGAACCUGAAACCGUGUACGUACAAGCAGUGGGAGCCUCUUAAUGGGGUGACUGCGUACCUUUUGUAUAAUGGGUCAGCGACUUAUAUUCUGUAGCAAGGUUAACCGAAUAGGGGAGCCGAAGGGAAACCGAGUCUUAACUGGGCGUUAAGUUGCAGGGUAUAGACCCGAAACCCGGUGAUCUAGCCAUGGGCAGGUUGAAGGUUGGGUAACACUAACUGGAGGACCGAACCGACUAAUGUUGAAAAAUUAGCGGAUGACUUGUGGCUGGGGGUGAAAGGCCAAUCAAACCGGGAGAUAGCUGGUUCUCCCCGAAAGCUAUUUAGGUAGCGCCUCGUGAAUUCAUCUCCGGGGGUAGAGCACUGUUUCGGCAAGGGGGUCAUCCCGACUUACCAACCCGAUGCAAACUGCGAAUACCGGAGAAUGUUAUCACGGGAGACACACGGCGGGUGCUAACGUCCGUCGUGAAGAGGGAAACAACCCAGACCGCCAGCUAAGGUCCCAAAGUCAUGGUUAAGUGGGAAACGAUGUGGGAAGGCCCAGACAGCCAGGAUGUUGGCUUAGAAGCAGCCAUCAUUUAAAGAAAGCGUAAUAGCUCACUGGUCGAGUCGGCCUGCGCGGAAGAUGUAACGGGGCUAAACCAUGCACCGAAGCUGCGGCAGCGACGCUUAUGCGUUGUUGGGUAGGGGAGCGU
rnacentral:rRNA from 1 species